CAGCCGCCGCGGGAAUACGAAGGGUGCAAGCGUUACUCGGAAUUACUGGGCGUAAAGCGUGCGUAGGUGGUUGUUUAAGUCUGCUGUGAAAGCCCUGGGCUCAACCUGGGAAUUGCAGUGGAUACUGGGUCACUAGAGUGUGGUAGAGGAUAGUGGAAUUUCCGGUGUAGCAGUGAAAUGCGUAGAGAUCGGAAGGAACAUCUGUGGCGAAGGCGACUAUCUGGGCCAACACUGACACUGAGGCACGAAAGCGUGGGGAGCAAACAGGAUUAGAUACCCCAGUAGUCCCUGUCUCUUAUAC
rnacentral:rRNA from 1 species